rnacentral:rRNA from 1 species
CGCGUAGGUGGUUGGCUAAGAUUGAUGUGAAAGCCCUGGGCUUAACCUAGGAAUGGCAUCGAUGACUGGCGAGCUAGAGUAGUGUAGAGGGCAGUGGAAUUUCCGGUGUAGCGGUGAAAUGCGUAGAGAUCGGAAGGAACACCGGUGGCGAAGGCGGCUGCCUGGACAGCUACUGACACUGAAGCGCGAAAGCGUGGGGAGCAAACAGGAUUAGAUACCCUGGUAGUCCACGCUGUAAACGAUGAAGACUAGAUGUUAAUCAGCGAGACUGAGUAGUAUCGAAGCAAACGCGAUAAGUCUUCCGCCUGGGGAGUACGGCCGCAAGGUUAAA